UGGGGAAUAUUGGACAAUGGGCGAAAGCCUGAUCCAGCCAUGCCGCGUGUGUGAAGAAGGUCUUCGGAUUGUAAAGCACUUUAAGUAGGGAGGAAGGGCAGUAAGCGAAUACCUUGCUGUUUUGACGUUACCGACAGAAUAAGCACCGGCUAACUCUGUGCCAGCAGCCGCGGUAAUACAGAGGGUGCAAGCGUUAAUCGGAAUUACUGGGCGUAAAGCGCGCGUAGGUGGUUCGUUAAGUUGAAUGUGAAAGCCCCGGGCUCAACCUGGGAACUGCAUCCAAAACUGGCGAGCUAGAGUAGGGCAGAGGGUGGUGGAAUUUCCUGUGUAGCGGUGAAAUGCGUAGAUAUAGGAAGGAACACCAGUGGCGAAGGCGACCACCUGGGCUCAUACUGACACUGAGGUGCGAAAGCGUGGGGAGCAAACAGG
rnacentral:rRNA from 1 species